UAAAAAGUUCUUCACAGACUAAAUGCUCAGAUUAUCUUUGUUCAGGAAAUUCAUGUUAGGCAAGAUGACAAUCUACGAUUCUUCAAGUUUUUGAGAGGACAGCAGUUUAAUUAAAAUUCACAGGCUAAGGUGAAAGGAGUCUCUAUUUUUAUUGACUCCUCAAUUCCGUUUUUUCACAAUGAAACAAUUUCUGAUCCAUAUGGCAGAUUUUUGGCGAUUACCGGUGUUCUUUACAAGCAAAAAGUUGCUAUGGUGAAUGUCUACGCACCAAAUAUUAAUCACCCUGAAGUUUUUAAACAGUUAAUUGCAUCCUUUCCUAAUUUAAAUGAACACUUUUUAAUAAUGGGUGGAGAUUUCAAUUGCUGUCUGAAUCCCUCGAUUGACAGGUCUACAUCUGAUCAUGUGCUUCCAAAUAAAUCAGCUAAUUUUAUUAA